rnacentral:rRNA from 1 species
UACGGAGGGAGCUAGCGUUAUUCGAAAUUACUGGGCGUAAAGCGCACGUAGGCGGCUUUGUAAGUAAGAGGUGAAAGCCCAGAGCUCAACUCUGGAAUUGCCUUUUAGACUGCAUCGCUUGAAUCAUGGAGAGGUCAGUGGAAUUCCGAGUGUAGAGGUGAAAUUCGUAGAUAUUCGGAAGAACACCAGUGGCGAAGGCGGCUGACUGGACAUGUAUUGACGCUGAGGUGCGAAAGCGUGGGGAGCAAACAGG